rnacentral:lncRNA from 1 species
UCCGCUCAGACCCUCUCACUCUCAGCCAUAAGUUCCGCUGCCGCGGCCUUCGUCUCCGGCGAAGGGCCACCGGCCUCAUCUCCCUCCAACCUAACCAAAUCGCGCCGCCACUAUUCCUCUCUGGAACUCCGGCGAGUCAGCAGCGAGAAGCCACUGCCGCCACCUCCAAAAUCCCGGCGAGACACUCUAUCCGGCUGACUCUCUCUCUCUGUACCGAUGACAACAACUAUUGGCAGCCAUUGCCGCCUCUCUCCUCGUCUCCCUCGACUCUAUCUCCUUCAACCACCACCCUAGUCUCGAUCUCCGGCGACAACAGUCAAUAGACCACCACCGCCAUCGACCCCUAUUCUCUAACUCCGGCAGUGAUAGCCAGAAGUCGCCACCUGCCGAUUCCAGCCCUCAAGUUCCUCCCAUUUUUCUCUUGCCUCACCAACAGCAGUAGCUGCUCGCCCAUCACCCUCGCACACAUCCGGCCGGACAACCGGCAGAAAACUCGUUGCCGUCCCGACGCCGCUAGACACUCAUACAACAGACGACAACAAGACCCCAAAGUUCAUUCAUUUUUUUUUAAAAAAAUAAACUCUUAGUAUACAUAUGUAUAUUCAUAUAAAUGC